rnacentral:lncRNA from 1 species
AAAUACAAAGCUAAUAGGAAUGGUAAUAGAACACUUAACAGUAAACACUAAACCCAAGUUAAGGAAAUAUAAAUCCAAUCCAUAGGCAACCCAAAUCUCCAAGCAAUUAAAUCCACCUGCCAUAAUACUGGAGACAUAUAUUUACAUUCCUCAUGAGCCACAUGAAAUACAAAGCUAAUGGAGAUGGUAAAGGAACACUUGAUAGUAAACACUAAACCUAAAUUAGAGAAAUAUAAACCCCAAUACAUAGGCAACCCAAAUCUUUAUGAAAUUAAAUCCACAUGCCAUAAUACUCGAGACAUGUAUUUACAUUCCUUAUGAGCAACAUUAAAUAAAAAGCUAAUAGGACUGGUAAUAGAACACUUGACAUUAAACAUUAAACCCAAGUUAGGAAAAUAUAAAUCCCAAUCCGCAACCCAAAUCUUCAGGAAACUAAAUCCACCUGCUAUAAUACUAGAGACAUGUAUUUACAUUCCUCAUUAGCCACAUGAAAUACAAAGCUAAUGGAAAUAGUAAUAGAACACUUGACAGUAAACACUAAACCCAAGUUAGGUAAAUAUAAACCCCAAAACAUAGGCAAACCAAACCUUCGGGAAAUUAAAUCCACCUCUUAUAAUACUGGAGGUAUGUAUUUACAUGCCUUAUGGGUAACAUGAAAUACGAAGCUAAUGGGGAUGGUAAUAGAACACUUCUCACUAAACACUAAACCCAAAUUAGGAAAAUAUAAAACGCAAUACAUAGGCAACCCAAAUCUACAACAAAUUAAAUCAACCUGCCAUAAUACAUGAGUCAUCUAUUUACAUUCCUCAAGAGACAUGGAAUAUGCAAUGGGUUAAGACAUAGUAUAAUACAUAGUAUAGUAUAUAAAUAGUAUGGUAUAUAAAUAGCAACGCCUACACAUCAGAUAUGAACCCUUCGCCUCACGGUGAGCGUCCCGUAUUUCUUCACAAUUGAGGCCCGUUACAGAAGCAAAGCUUGUAUAGCAUAACAAAUUGGUUUCCCCACGAAGAGCCACCAGAGUUCGAAGUCCUUCUCAAGAACCAACUGUCGAGCAAGAAAAUAAUGAAAUUAUAUUCCAUGUGACAUAUACUAUUCCACAAAAUCAUCAUUAUUCCACAAUAAGUGUGCUAUAUACAUAUAAACAUAAUAAGUGUGCUAUAUACAUACGUGGAAUCAACUCGUGCAGAUACUAUUCUACAAAAUAAUCACUGUUUUUACACUAUGUACUAUCCAUAGCUGAUACAAAAUCUCAAUUCAAGCAUAAGAAAGAAGAACAUCAGAGGGAAACACAACCGACUAUAAAUUGUAGAAGCCAAUUUACCUACCAGAUCUGACAUUCACCAUAGAGAAGAUUGUAUAUUUAUCAGUGACAGAGACAAACAAGUGUAAUGCCAGAAAAACAAUGAUAUUCUGUGUAAUUCAAAAGGCUGACAGACUAAACAAAACGAGCAAACACACAAAGCAUAAAUCAAAAUGACAAUACAAUAAAUAUGUUACAAACAAGGAAAGGCCAGACAAGCAAAGCAGAAUAGCAAGUGAUACUAUCUUAAGUGAAAUAGUUCAAUUCGAUACGAAUACUGUUUCAUUUCAAAUGGACUCGAGUUUAUAAAUAUCAUACUAUGUCUACUUAGUGAGCAUUUGUAAGCUGUGAUAUUCUACACAUCUUCCCCUAAAUUACUACACUACUUAUUUUGCAGCACUGGCACAAAAAUAAUUCAAAUUAAAGGAACCCUCCCACAACCCGGAAAAACCCAAACCCUCAAUCAAAUUGGAAAAGGCCGAUGAGAGGGAUUAAUUAUGUAACGGUAUCGAUGGUAUGCAACAGGAACGAUGAUACUAUUCUAAAUGGAAUAGAUGAAUUAGAUAAGUAUACUAUGAGACGAGCCCAAAUAAAAGAAAAUAAACACAGAGGAAGCAAAGAUGAAGAGAAUUUACGGAAACAAGGGAGAAUUUACAAAAAAUUCAGAGAUCUGAGAAGAAUCGAGUUGGUGAAGUUGGAUAGGAAGGGUGUGUUACUAACCGCAGCUGAAACUCUAACGCGGAACCUUAACGCCGAACACGAUUGAAAGGAAGCACGAAGAAGAUGGAAAAGCUGUCGAUUGAAGGUAGAGGGGAGGAUUUGGAGCAAAUCGGUACCGGAAACCACUCAACCUCGAAAAAGUUAUCAACAAAAGUGAAAAUGGAAUUGUGAAUAGAGGUAAGACACGAGAUACCUUUUAUGCAGUUAAUAAUUUAAUUUUUAAUUAAUUUUGGUAGCAGGUUGGCCGGUUGAGUUUAAAGGGUAUUACAGUAUUAAUAUGUAUAUAUAACUCCGUGUACAGAAACGUUAGGAAAAAUAGCUAUUGUGUGUAUUAUAGUUUUUUUCAUGUCUAUAAACCCCAAUUUCCCAACUAAAAACAAACUUGGCUUACAAAAUAAGCUAAAAUAUAAGUAAAUAUCGGAGUUACUGUUCACCGAGUUACUAUUUACUUUAACAAUAUAUUUCUAUCAAAAUCCUCUAGAAGGCAUUUAGAGCAUGAUUAUUGGAGGGUUCUUAGGGUGAGGUUUUUAGUGGAAUAUAAGAAACCGUAUCUUAACUUUUAACUAAAAAAACUAAGAACCGGUUCUUAAAUCUCUUAUUUAAGAGCCGGUUCUUAGCUUUUUUAGUUAAAAGUUAAGAGACAAUUUCUUAUAUUUUGCUUAGAACUUUACCCUAAGAACCUCCCGUUAAUCAUGCUCUUAAACUCUUUCGAAUUCUAUUGAACUCUCUUCUUUUGUUAUUUAUCACUUCAUGUCAACAAUUGUUGCUGCUUAUUCUAGAACGUGUGUACGAGUUUAGGGAUGCGAGUAUUGCGGCUACAUGCAUCUGUAAUUGUUACGUUGGUUUGGUCUUGCUAUAAAGAAACUCAAUCUCUUAUCCAUGGAUGAACUUGAAUAAAUACCAUCAAGAUUUCAUGAACAGAAUGUCUGAGUAAGGUGACUAUAAAGCUCUGCUGGGAAACGUUAUACACGUUCACUGUGAUAAGAGUUGAAUUUAAUGAACCAGUACACUCAAGUUUGGUGAGGUAACAUAUGUUAAACCUAAGACAUUAAAGGACAUAACAUAAAGCCAAUUGCAUGUGCAACACUUCACUGAUGCACGCUAAACUUCAAGCGAAUACUCACAAUCGAAUUGCAGUAAAUAUAGUUUUCGCUAUAUUUAGUACUAUAAUUUACAAGGGUGUAAAUGUUAAUAAAUUAUACUUUUGUAGUUUCAUACAACUUCAAAUCUUAAUUUUAGAUUUAGUAUAUGGAUGAAAAAAACUAAUCUUAAACUAUUUCCAUGAGGAUACAUUAACCAAUAUUUGUUGUUUACGAACUUUUUUUCCUAAUAACUUCACAUUUAAUAUACGUAAUACAUGCACGUGGUAUUCUCUUAUAGAGGAUUCUAUCUAAUCUUACCCAAAAGUAAUCAUUUUUUUUUGCCAAAAUGUGAAUUUCAUAUUAAUAUGAGAAGAGUUUGUAAUUGCUUACAAAAAUUUUUAGAUAAAAGCUUGAGUCAGCCUUGGACAAAAAAAUAAAACAAAGCUGAGUCAACAUAAGCAUUUAAAGAACCGGCAUGUUAUUCAAACCGUAGCCAUUGCUGCAUAAGUGGGAUAAAGGGCUUUAGUUUCCUUUUUCUCAGGAUUGUAUCCCUUAUGAAGCGAUCAAGGAUUUUGAACAUAGCUGCUGGACUUCGAGUUUUACCAUCAUGUAGACGUCUAUUCCUCUCAGUCCAGAUGCUUGAUAUUGUUGCUUGAGAGACGAGUUUCUUGAGCGUUCGGCUUGUGACAGCAUCUUGCAUAGAUAACCAAUCAGAGAGAGCAAUCCCAAAAGUAAUCAUGGAAACGAGGAAUCACACAUGGAUUUCCAUUCUGUAACAUUGUACUUUGGAUUCUCCACUAUAAUUCGUAGUACACCUUUGCUCUCGUGUCUCUGCCGGACCAGAUUAAAACUACAGUAUCUUCCCCAAACAAACUCUAUUUUUACAUUUUAUCUUUUUUUAAUAUAUAAAAAGGCUUGAGAAAAAUAAUUCUAGGCAUAUCGUAAAACGUACGCCUACAUUCGUAACGUAUCGAGAACACGUUCUAUUCUAUCCAUUUUAUCCAGUUCAAACGUUUCUUUACCACCCACGUAUAUUCCAAUCAUUUAAAAAUUAUAUAUGAGACUUUCAUUCCCAUAUUUUUCAUGUAUGAGCUUAUCCUCUCCUAAUCUCAAGUGUUUUAUUAAAGUCAAAUUACAUAUUUUAGAAAUGUUUAUAUAGAAAAUCUUUUAAACAUAUAGUAUUUGACUUUGUAGUCUCUAAAAAUGAUGUAAUUGAAUUUUUGGUAUAAAUAAAUUACAGUCCAGUCCGGAACGUGGUAAGAGAAGAUGGUUGGGACGACACGUUUUAAGUUCGAUCUAUUUGCCGCGUGAAACUAAGUCACAUUGUUCUGGACAAAUACUUACGACACAUUUACAUAUCUGGAAAAAAGAUAUAUCCGUAGACUACACUUUUUUUGGAAAUUAGUCUCGGCACAUAAAUCCGAGAUACUUCCAGAUUAAUCAAAAAAAUAAAUAAAUAAAUAAGUAAAUUACCGUUCAUGUGGUCAAAAGGUUGCACAAUAUAUUACUACCGCCAACCAAUUAUUUAAAUAUGAAUUAUUGUUAGUUUUGGGAGAAAUAUACGAUAUCCUUAAAUGUUUUACCAAAAUGAAUUUCUCAAAAAAAAAAAAAAAUUUACCAAAAUGAACGAUAAAUCAAAGGUACAGAUCUCCACCAAUAUUUUUAUUCCAAAGAAUAAAAUCGAAUGUCACUUUUCUAUUAUACACAAAAAGAUAAAUAAUAAAAUUAAAAAAUUAAUUGGAACAUUUGAGAUUUGAGAGAAUAGGAAUCAGAAGAAGCAGCCUAACACUGACAUUACUAAGGAAUUUACAUUAUUAAGGUAAUAUAUCUGACGAUUCUUCACUCACACAAAAAAAAAAAAUUUGGAAGCAUAUCCCCUGUAUAUUAAUCGAAGAACAUUUGAAAAGAUGUAACCUCAAUUUUGUAAUAAUUAAAAUUUUAUAGGAAAUUUACUCUUUUGUGAUAGAAUAAUACUAUUCUGAAUCUCUUAAUUAAUUCUACGUGUCAGCCUCACAUUAAAAUUGAAAUACAUGUUAGUCCAAUUCGAUUUUUAUAUCUCACUAGAAACAUUUAACAAACCAAACCUUCAGGAAAUUAAAUCCACCUCUUAUAAUACUGGAGGUAUGUA